GAUGAACGCUGGCGGCGUGCCUAAUACAUGCAAGUCGAGCGAACAGACGAGGAGCUUGCUUCUCUGACGUUAGCGGCGGACGGGUGAGUAACACGUGGAUAACCUACCUAUAAGACUGGGAUAACUUCGGGAAACCGGAGCUAAUACCGAAUAAUAUAUUGAACCGCAUGGUUCAAUAGUGAAAGACGGUUUUGCUGUCACUUAUAGAUGGAUCCGCGCCGCAUUAGCUAGUUGGUAAGGUAACGGCUUACCAAGGCAACGAUGCGUAGCCGACCUGAGAGGGUGAUCGGCCACACUGGAACUGAGACACGGUCCAGACUCCUACGGGAGGCAGCAGUAGGGAAUCUUCCGCAAUGGGCGAAAGCCUGACGGAGCAACGCCGCGUGAGUGAUGAAGGUCUUCGGAUCGUAAAACUCUGUUAUUAGGGAAGAACAAAUGUGUAAGUAACUAUGCACGUCUUGACGGUACCUAAUCAGAAAGCCACGGCUAACUACGUG
rnacentral:rRNA from 1 species